GCGGGCAUGGCGGAACUGGCAGACGCGCCAGACUUAGGAUCUGGUGGAUUAAAUCCCGUGGAGGUUCAAAUCCUCUUGCCCGCACCA
rnacentral:tRNA from 1 species